rnacentral:lncRNA from 1 species
GGAAACUCCUUUGUCAGCCACAACAGCACAAGAAUUAGAAACUGAAGAAGAAGGUGAAGUUAAAUAAUCAGUAUUUUCAUGUCUAAGUAGCUCAGCUAACAAAAGAACAAGAGAAGACAUUUGAUAAUAAAAAAAAAAUUCUAAUGAAAGAUGUUUUCAAGAUUUUUCCUUUGUUUGAUACAAUGAAUUCAAAGCACACAAAUUCCUAAUUUAUAAGCAACCAAAAGUAGGUGAAUAGUAGUAUUAAAAGCUGGCUUGACUUAAAUACUGUGUGAUAUUUAUUUAAUAUAAGAAAACAAGGGGCAAACAAAAGCAGUUGGUUCAGGAAAUAUGUGGUGAAUCCUGGAGAUUUCGAUUUAGUUCAUGUUUAUACUCCGUUCAUAUUUAUAUGUCAUCCUUAUUAAACAUAGACACUUCUCAAUAUUUGUCAUUUCACAAAAAUAAGGUAUAAAUGACACUAUUUUAUAUAUAUAUAUAUAUAUAUAUAUAUAUAGAUAUAUAGAGGAUAGUGCUAAAUGGCCAGAAAAUUUGGCCAGCCAGAAAUUUAAAAAAUCUAUAAUAUCUUUUUUAUUUAAAAUAAACUAAUCUUUUUUCAUUUUUAAAUUAAAAGAUAUUAAAGUUAAAAAGGUAAAAUACCAUUCUAGCCAAAAAAAUUGGCCAAAAGGAUUUUUCUAUAUAUAUAUAUAUUUGACUAACAUAGAAUAACUAAGUAAAUAGUUCAUGUGUAUUGGUCAGAAUAAUUAAUCAAAAUAAACUAAAUCAUAUUCAUUGAUUGAAAACUUGACUUUACGAGAACACUUAAUAAGGAUACAAUGAUAAAAUUACUUAAUUUCUUAGAAACGUGAAAUCUAAAAUAGUGACAACUAAAAAAAACCAACGUCAUAUGAAUAUCUUACUUAAUUAAUAAAUUUGAGAAAAUCUUAAUAGUUUAGUUGAUUGACUAUUUGAACACUCACCACCUUAUUGAUCCAUACUAUAAUCCCCUCCUCUAUUUUCCCAUUCCCUCCCCCAAUUUAAAUAAUAAUAAUAAUAAAUUUAUUUUAACUUUAUAAUUUUUUUUUAUGUAUAAUAACAUAAAUAUAAAAUUAGAAUAAAUAUAUUGGGUUAGACAGCACAAGUUACCGACGCGGCCCCUAGCUAUUUGUUCCUGUUGUUUUGUAGUGUAUUCUUGUUUUUGUCAAUAGUUUCGUCUUUUUGUGACUCUGCCUUUCAUUUAUAGAGGGCUCAGCCACCGCUACCUGUUUUCUCAAAAGUACUACGCUAAAAACCACGGCCUUUUGCGGUGCGAUUCUUUGUUAUUUUUAUUAAUAUAUUUCAUUAUAAAUACAUAAAUACACACGUAAUUUCAAUCUUAGAUGGUUAAGUGUCUAAAUAUAUACUGUUAAAAUUAGCGUGUUUAUUUAUUACAUAGCUGAGAUCAAGUUUAAGGGUGUCUUUUUUUUUUCCAAUUCCAUUUUCUUCGGUCAAUUCGCGGGGUUAGAUAUCGUUUUUGACUCAAUUAAGCUUAAUUGGGGUUCAAAAAAAGUAAGCUUUACUUUGGGUUUAUUUGUGGAAUAUAUUUUAGUAAAUUCUAGCCGUAUAAAAGUUUUUACGUCAUAUAUAUAAAUAUAAAAAUAAUAAUAUAUCUUUUUAGUUAAUACCCUUUGCAGAUAGUCGUUAGAUUCGAGCUCUGAGUAUAAUUUUUUUUUUUUUUAGGAAGUGUUACUCCCAAAUGGAUAGCAUGAAUAAUAAAAUAAAUAACCCUAGUUGUCAACUCUUUUGUCUUGAAUCUUUGAACUCCCAAAUCUUUGAAGUAUUCUCUAUUGAAUAAAUAACUCACUCAACAGUUCACGUAGGAACCUCAAAAAGUGAGAUAGUUUAAAUGUGUUUUUAAUCCUUAACUUUAAUGUAAUUGAAAUCUCAAAGGACAAAGAAAACUUAAUUAUUAUGAUGAAAUAUUACUCUAUUAUAGAAAACGGUUAUUCUAGAAAGAAUGAAAACUUUUCUCAAUUCAAGAAAAUAUAAAAGUUUGUAAAGAUUAGUAUGAUUGCAAAUAAACUACAACUUUGUUAAUAAAAUAUCUGAAGUUUAAAUUGAAUAACAACCAGAGAGAAAGUUGAGAUGAAGCAAUUCCUCUCGUGUAUCUUACGUAAGUUUCAAGUGGCUGUGGACUUCCCCAUUGACCUAGUGAGUAUUUUCACCAGAUAGACACUUUUGUGUCCUCACAAAUUAAACCAACCAUAUGAAGGGACCAAACUUGGCUGGGCCUAACAAUCCUAACCACUAUUUUAAGGUUUGAUACAUUUCUCGUUAUGAAAGUGACUCAUAUAUAUUCAUAAUGUUAUACAAAUGGAUCACAUACAUCCUUUUCUUUUUACGGAAGUGAAAAAAAUAAUGUUAAUUUAAUUUUUUAAUUAUUUUUUUGGAAAAAAAUAUAAUUCAUAUGGGGUAUAUUUGAUCCUCCUCAUGCGUAUUUUUUUUUUUUUUUGUUUUAAUAACUAAUUUAAAUUUAUUAUUUUGAUGGUCAAAGUUGUAUGUUUCACUAAUUUUCUUGUAAAAAUUUUCACAGAUGCCCCAUUUUUUUUAGGGAAAAUUAUAUAAAAUAGCAAACUAUUAAUUCAAAUUAAAUGUUAUAACCACAGUCCACAGUUUCAUUUAAUUCGAAUUCAUACCAAACACUUUGUCAUUCGCCUCUCUCCCCAGAAAUCUCGCUCACCACUCUCCCUGAUCUCGCUCGCAUCUCUCACUUUAUACAAACACAAAUGUAUAAAUUGUGUUUGAAUAAAGCGAGAGAAAACUGUAUAUACAAAUACAAAUACAUAUACAUAUAUUUUUGUCGUAUACACUUAUAAUUAUACAAUAUAAAUCUUCCCCUGCCCAGUUUUCUUUUGACUUUCUCUCUUUCUCGUUUUAUACAAACAAAAAUUAUACAAAAUACAAUGUAUAAUUUGUGUUUGUAUAAAGCGAGAGAGCAACCCGAUUCAAUUGUAUACGAAUUCAAAUUUUAUGCAAAUAUACAAACGCAAUUUUCAUAGACACAGAAACCCGAUUUAUACAAAUUUCUGCGAUUUAUACAAAUCAGAUGCCUGCGAUUUUAUACAAAUCAAAGUUGCCUGCGAUUUUUAUACAGAUCUGAUGCUCUAUAGCAAACUAUGUUUGCUAUGGAGCACAAAUAGCAAAAUUGUAGCUAUAGAGCGCUAAUAUGAUUUUUAUAUUUGCUAAACCUAAAAUUUACUCUUUUUUAAUUUUAUUUUUACAAAUACAAAAAAGAAAUUACAAUAUAGCCACAAAAAAAAUUAAUUUUAAAUUUUUUCUUUACACUAAAGAAUGAAAGAAACUCAAAUAAUUAUAAUUAAAGAAGUCAAUAAAUAAUUUUUGUAUGAAAAUGAUUAAAAUACACCUUAAACUUUGCUAGAGGAUCAUAUAUAUGACCCUAUAUGAUUUUUUCUAAAAUUAAAGUCAAAAAAAUAAAUUUAAAACUAAUUUUUUCACUUUCAUUAGAUGAAGGGUAUAUGUGAACUCCUAUUGUAACGGUAAGAGUAUAUGUGAGUCAUUUGUAUAACGAUAAGGGUAUAUAUGAGUCACUUUCAUAAUGAGAAGUAUAUCAGAUCUAAAUGACAAAGUUAAGAAGUAUAUCAGACCAUUUUCCCUAUUUUAUUUACUAUACUAUGAGAGGGAGUUUCAAAGUGCUCAUCAACAGGCCAACAUGACAUGCCUGCUUGAGCACUUUGAGGGUGUUCCUAUAAUUUUUUGGUAAUUCAUUCGUUUUAACUAGUUUGUUUUAUUUUUUAGAUUAUAUAUAUUUAAAAAUUGUGUAAAACAUAAUACUUAUAAAUCAUAAUAAUUGACAAUUUAAAUUUUUUGAAAAAAAUAUUUUUUAAAAAUCGACUGAUUUUUGAAAUUAAUAUAUUGUUGAAUUGUGUAAAGAAAUAUGGUAAUUGACAACUUAAAAUAUUUUUAAAAAGAUAUGUAAAAAAUUCAACCGAUUCUUCAAUUAAUCUAUCGGUGAUACAUAAAAUAGGACAAAAAGAAGUAACAUGUACAGUAUUAUUUAAUUUGAAAACUAUGUAAAAAGUAUUAUAAAUCUCAAUAAUUAACAACAAUUGAUUGGGUCUUUAAAUUCUAUCUAUGCUACACACAUUGGGACAAAGGCAAUAACAUAUACUCCUUUCGUCCCAUUUUAUGUGAGGUAGUUUGACUCAGCACGGAGUUUAAGAAAGAAAGAAAGACUUUUAAAAUUUGUGGUCCAAAAUGAAUGAUAGAAAUUUGUGUGGCUGUAAAUCAUUUUCAUUAAGUGUAAAUAGACAUUUUAUAGUUAAAUUGUUACUUAAUAUAUAAAUGUGUCAUUCUUUUUGGGACUAAUGAAAAUCUAAAAAUGAAAGUAAGUCACAUAAAUUGGGAUAGAGAGAGUAUUAUUUAACAAUUACGUAAAAUGUACUAUAACUCACCAUAAUUAAUAACUUAAAAUAUUUAAAAAUUAUACUAAAAUUUAAUUGACUCUCUAAAUUGAGAUAAAAAGUAAUAGAUAUUAAGCAUGUAUCUGGUAUAUUAUUGAAGAUUUAGUCUUGGCAAGCUUGAUUUUAGACGUGUAUAGCAGAAAUUUGAUUUGAGAAAGUAAAAUUUCUAACGCAUAAUUUGAUGAAUGGCUAAACUUACAUAAAUUUAUAAAAAUAAUCCGUGGAUUAAAUAAGGCCCCAAAAUCAGUGAUCUAUGACCAUGCACCCCUUUCGAUCUUCUUCUUCGUUCUUUAGUUAUAUACUUAGGAGAAAAUGGUCAAAUGACCCCUCAACGUAUAUUCGAAUUUUUAACUAUACACUUAAACUUCACGAGAAUUCUAUCACCCCUCUGUACUAUUUAAAAUUGAAAUUAUUACCUCCCUGAAUGUUUAGUUGGCAUAGUGAAUGUAUUUCACUCUCUUUGGGAGAGUGAGUAUCAAAUCUAUUAUUAAAACCUUAAUUUUAAUAUCUCUUUUCAAUAAAUAUAUAUGCAUUUUUAAUUAUUUAUUUUUCUUAUUUGUUUUCUUUCUUCUCCAACAAUAUAAACAAAUCUCUCAAUCUUUCACCAUCUCUAAGUCGUGCUGCCCAUCUUCACCAGAUUCACUAUUAUUGAUUCCAAACAAAUUUUCAAACUCAUAAAACUCUUGCAAAAUCAAUCAACCUAAAUCAAUUGUAGAUAAGUUUACAUAUAUUUAUAUCACCCCAAGAUACUUUAGAUUCGAUUUGAGAAAAAUCAAUAUGGGUUUACUUCAAACCCAAUUGAACCCACCGAAUUUUAUUUUAUUUUUACUAAUAGAUCAUUUAAUUAUCAAUCUCAAAUCUCAAUCAAUCAAUUAUAUCUCAAAAAUUAUCGCUAUUAAUCUCGUUAAUUCAUCAACCGUCGUAGAAUCAAUCUCUUCCUCUUCGAAAUUGUUGUCGCAAUCGAUGAUGACGUGGAAGACAUUGUAGGCUCCUCCUCCUCAUCUUCCUUGAGAGGAUUACUUAUCUUUGGUGACCACCAUUAAUGGCAAUAUUUUGCCAUGUUCGUCUUCUCUCCUGCCUUCACUUUUUUUUAAAUUUGAUUUUUAGGUUUCAAAUGAGCAAAACCAGUAUAUCUCUGGAUAAGCUCUGAAAUCAUUAUUCAACUUUUUUCCUUAAAGACCCAAUUUUAUGGACUUAUGGUGUUCUAGUAAUGUUGAAAAUGGUGGAAGUACUUUAGGUGUUUGAAGGGAUGGGUCAGAAUAUAGAAGAAAAGGGUAAAUAAAUAUAAAAAAUAAAAAAUAUAUAUUUGAUGAGGUGUCAAACAUGCCACCAUAGAUCUGGUUAUAUCCUUUUAAGGGUAUAAUUAAUUCAUCUUUAAACAGUUCAGGGGUGAUAGGACUCCCGUGAAGUUUAACUGUAUAGUUGGAAAUUCGGAUAUAUGUUGAGGGGGCAUUCGGCCAUUUUCUCAAGAAAAAAACAAUAACUUGUGAUUCUAAAUACUCCAAUAAGAUUCCCUGACUAGAAAAAUAUCUCAUUUAAUUUGAUGUACAAUUAAAAAAUCAAAAUUAAAUUUUUUUUAACAUAAUUUUUUUUUUUCAUGUUUUACGGGAAAAAAAAGCAACAUUAUAUCAUAGAAAAUGAAACAAAUGGAAUAGUGCUUAUGAAAACAAAUGGAAUGAGAAAAACAGUAAAGAAAUAAGAUUUAUUUCGAGGAGAAAGAUACGAUGGUGACAUAUAUAAUAAAAAAAAUUAGUGAAUAAUUACAAUACAAUACUCUCAAGUCUUAAGGCCAAACAAAAUCAACACAAAUUUUGGGAAGUUCUUCAAAAUCCUCAGCUAAAUUGAAGUCAGUGUUGAAAUUAGUUGAGGAAUUGUUGAAUACCCUUUGGUUGGAAACUCCUUUGGCAGCCACAACAGCACAAGAAUCAGCAACUGAAGAAGAAGGUGAAGUCAAAUAAUCAGUAUUUUCAUGUCUAAGAAACUCAGCUAACAAAAGAACGAGAGAAGCCAUUUGAUAAAAAAAAAAAUCUAAUGAGAGAGGUUUUCAAGAUUUUUCCUUUGUUUGAUACAAUGAAUUCAAGGCACACAAAUUUUUCCUAAUUUAUAAGCAAUCAAAAGUAGGUGAAUAGUAGUAGUAUUAAAAGCCGGUUUGGCUUAGAUACUAUACUCUGUG